rnacentral:lncRNA from 1 species
AAUAGGAUUGAUUUUUAUCAGGAAGAACUUAAAUAGGUGUAAAGACCAAGUAGAAAGUAUUUUUAAUAUCUAGAUUAUUUUACAUGUAUCUUGGGGAAGAUGGCAGGAAAUUCUUCAAUAUGUAGAUUACAGCUUUUGAUGUCUACUUAUUUUUAUGUCUCUUUUUUCAUUUUUUUAAAGUUUUAUUAAAGUAUAGUUGAUUUACAAUGUUGUAAUAAUUUCUUCUGUACAACAAAGUGAUUUAGUUAUACAUGUACACAUAUCCAUUCUUUUACAGAUUCCUUUCCCAUAGAGGUUAUCACAGAAUAUUGGGUAGAGUUCCCUGUACCUUACAGCAGGUCCCUGUUUACCAUCCAUUCCAUAGAUAAUAGUGUACAUAUGCUGAUCCCAAACCCCCAGUCCAUCCCCCCAUGUGUCCCUGAUGUCCACUUAUUUUUGAAUGUUGUACAGUGCAGGUAGUGAAACUUAUUUCUCCAUACCAGUGUAGCAAGGGGCAGUAGACAGAGGCACGGCUUUCAAGGAAAUUACCACAUAUAAUAUCUCUUAUGAAUUAAAAUACUAAUACCUCAAUUCCUUCUUAUGAAAGUCUUUUUAGGCUGCUUAAACAGAAGGCUUUUUGACUGAAAGAGGGAGUCGUACAUCCAACCCAGAGGUGCCAUUUUGAGAGUGCACGAGAUCCAUUGAUACAAAAAACUCUGCACAAUAAGAAUGUGGUCAGAAAUAUUCCCCAAGAGGCUGGUCAUAUUGAUGAAAUAAGACAAUGAUUAUUUAAGGACAAUAGAAGCUUAAAGUAUUCAUCAAAUAAAGAGAAGCAGCUGCCAAUUCCAAGUGAUGGAGGUGAGCCCAACGGGGUAAGGCUGGCUUAUCAGACUCUGCUCUUAAUAGAUGCUUAAUAAUUAUCUCUCAAAGGAGUUUCCAUACUGUGAAGCUGUGACCAAAACGUCUUUUGCAGAUGAGCGCCAGAUGAAGCCCACAUUGGUGUGUUUACUGCUUUGUGCCUGUACACACACUUAGGUGCAUGUUCAUGCACACACACCUCUUGUUCAUAGAAUGUUACACAGAGGUUUUCAAACUGUCCUCUGCAAAGUUGUGUAUUCCAUGACAUCUCUUUAGGGUCACAGUGGGGAUGGAAGGGGUGAGACACCAGAGUCUUCAAUCAGCACAGCUCUGCCAGUAUCUGUUACAUACAGCAAAGUCUGUGUAAGAUUUUGCGACAAUGAAGGUUCUGCCUCUCUCACCGACAUAGACACACAUGCAUGUACCUAGACAUGUACUCAUUUGGAAACCACUGAUCUAGAUGAACUAUGUAAUUUUACAGGCAAACCCCUGGAGCCUCAGAGAGCUGGAAUGGCCGUGUGACCUUCCUAGUUAGUUAGGGGGUGAGGUAGGAAAGUGGAGAGGGCUGUCAUUUGGAAUCCUGAGGCUCUUGGUCCAAAACCUGCCUCUACUGGCUUAUAAAAUUGUUAACAUGGGCCAGUUAUUUAACUUGCUGAGUCCACUUUCUUGUUUAUAAAAUGGAAUAAUUACAUUUUUAUAUAGGCCAGUUUUAGAAGGAAAUGGAGGAGUGUGUAUGUAUGUAUGUGUGUAUAUGUAAACAGGUAAUUUCUGUAUCUGAAAAAAAUGGUUGGAUUAUUUUCGUUGUUUCCCUAUUUCUGGAUCUCAGGGUCAGAACCGGAGCCAUGCUUCCUGAAUCCCAUUUAAUACCCUUUUGACUACAGAAUGGCUACUUACCCUGCUGGUAUCAGAAUUUUCUUCCAUCCAUGGUCCUUGAUUAUGGCAGUAGAUACAUGGCCCCAAAUCCCAUAUCUCAUCCCUUGGUUCCAGUCUGAUGAAUAUAAAUCCUGAAACUCCUUAAGUUAUGAUGCUUGAGUUUCCAUAAUGACUGCUCCAUAACACAGCGAAUCUUGACACCUGAUAAGAAUAAGACAUUAAUGUCUCAGACUGUCCAUCUUCCUAAUGCUUGGCAGCACAAAUGCCCCUAAGUCACAGUACUCUCUUUUCCAAUGACUGAUAAAGUAUCCUCUAUUACACAUUUUCCCACAUUUAGCUUCUGUUCCAACCUCAAUUCCUUUCAUUUCUGGUCAUUGUCCCACCUUUGUUCCUUUUAUAACUGUUGUGUUUGUGUGUAUUGUACAUAUACAUAUUGUUUACAUAUAUAUAUGUGUACACAUACACACACAUAUGCAAAUGAUGGGGAAAAUGGCAAGACACUUUAUUAAAAUGUGUGUAGUUCUUUUGCUACUGAUGUUGAAGGGCAGAAACAUAAACUAUUACCAAUAAAAAUUUUGAACCCACUCAGAAUAAAGUUAAAAAGCUGAAGACUGAUUACAUGGUAUUAAAAAUGAAAGCAGAGGGGGAGAGAGAGGCAGCCCAUUUAGGAGAGAAUGGAGGUCAUGGGAGGUUAUCAGUGAACUCCAUGCAGUACUGCUGGGUACAGAGAAGACUUCAGUGCUGUAAAAUUGGGAAGCAAAUUUGACAAAUUUAUGUCAAAAGUGUUGUCAGGUAGGGGUUCUGGUGGGAUAAGGGGGAUACAGGAGUGGCAAGGAGCAUUUUAAAUUAGAAUUAUGAGUAUAUUUAGUAACCAGUAACUAGGAGAAACCCACUCUCAGAUAAAGUCUGUUAUGAUUUGUUGUACUCUAUAGGUAAUAUGUUGACAUUUGAUCCAUAUUAUUUCUUCCUGGGAUAGUCUGCAUGUUCUUUCUCCUACAUCCAGUCUGUUAGGUCUACUUUCCCCUGUCUCCUGGGCUCUACUACUUUUGGAACACAACUAGGUGGAAGGAUGGAUUCCCACUCCUCUUCCACCUCCCCUUCUCAACUCUCCACACCUGCCUCCCACCCCGAGUAUGUUCCACAUCCCCUAUUCUUUCUUGCAUUGUCAAAUUGUUCAGUAGCACCUUUACAUGCUGAAAGUAUUUAAGAUUAGAUUAUGCUUUGUACAUAAUUUUAAAGUGUGCUAUCCUUUCACCUGAACCAGUAUGGAAAUAAAAGCCUCUCUCAAACCCUGUGAAUGAAAUAUUAAUACCCUAUAGGUUAUGCCCUGAGGUGGGCUCCCAUGCCCCCCUCACAUCCCCUUCCCCAGCUCUUAGACAGGAAUAAGUAGUGUGGUACAGAGGUUGGAAACAAAAGCACCAAGAUUAGAAAUACCUGUUUUCAAUCUUUGAGUGAAUUACUUAACUUUUUAAUCCUCAGCUUUCUCAUUUGUAAUUGAAGAUAUUAAUAUCCUCAUAAAGUUUUUAUGCUGAAUAAAUAAGCAAAUACUAUGUAAAAUGUGUAGCAUAGUAAUUUGCACAUGGCAUCACUUUAAAACAAGUGAAGAGAAAACAGUAAUCCGUUGUACUUCUUCCCACCAGGUAUAAAGUCUGUGGAGCAAAGACUAUGUCUUAAUAUCUAUGCAGAACAUAGUAGGCACUUAAUUAAUUUGCAAGUAAUAAGUGCAAGAAUGCAUCCAUUUGUGAACAAAUCAUAAAACUAGAGCUCAGAAGAUUAAAUAACUUGCCCAGAGUCAUUGUUAAAAGAGCUGGAAUUGAGGCCAUAUGUAUUUCAUUAUAUGCUGCUAGUCAGUCUUCUGUAACAUAAAUGCUUUCUUUAUAUUCUUUACUUUGUGGAGGGUUAGCCCUUGCUUUUUCAAACUUGAUUCCUAGAGCUUUACAGGCUUGGUGAUGAAGAAAGCCAUAACUCCUCGGGACUUGAUGUUAAAGUGUUUUGGCUCCAAUACCUGCAUGAAUUUAUCUGUUUGGUAAAGGUGUGAGCUUAUACGACAACAGCCACCAGCAGUGAGAAUUAAUCUCCUGAGUCUUAAUUAAAACAGUCUUUGGAGAAUACAACUGCCUCAGGAAGUACCAGAAAUCUCAUUUGAAAGCUUCCUGAUUGUGAUAUUUCCAAUGUCAUAUUGCAGAUUCAAGAAACUUGGGUGAUUUUGGAAUAAGUUUAGGAUAAGAACAGCCUCACUUGAAGUGCUUAUCUUAACCACCAAACCAUCUGUUCCUCUCCCAUCAUGGUUCUAAACAGUACAUAAGAACAAGCACUCCUCUCCCUGUCCCAUUUUGCAUCUGAACAUGAUCUAUUUCCAAAGUAGCUUAUUUUUCUCCCUUCCCCCUCAUGAAAAGCAGAAAGUAGCUGUGAACAUUUCAGCAGAACUGGAAGAAAUCUUCACCUCUUUCUAAUAUCUCCUUCCCUACCCACCCUCCUAAAUCUCAUUUUAAACUCAUAGUUAUUUCAGUGUGGUUGCUUUUUUUUCUCUUUUACUAUUCACAUCUAAUUCAUUACUAUGCCUACUGUUUUUUCUUUCUUUCUUUUUUUUUUUUUUUUGUCUUUUUGCCAUUUCUUGAGCUGCUCCCGCAGCAUAUGGAGGUUCCCAAGCUAGGGGUCAAAUCGGAACUGUAGCCGCUGGCCUAUGCCAGAGCCACAGCAACGACAGAUCCGAGCUGCGUCUGUGGCCUACACCACAGCUCAUGACAAUGCCAGAUCCUUAACCCACUGAGCUAGGCCAGGGAUUGAACCCUCAACCUCAUGGUUCCUAGUCGGAUUCGCCAACCACUGAGCCAUGACAGGAACUCCCGCCUACUGUUUUUUCUAAACAAAAAUAUCUCUUUCUUCUUCUUCAUCUCAUGUAUUAGAUUAUUAUAGAUAUCUCUUCUUUCUGUUUCCCUGAUUCUAGAUUUUCUCAUCCUCCUAUAAUCUCCAACAAGAUAGAAGAGUAAUUUGUUUUAGAUAAUAAAGCAGGGCUAUGAGAGAAGAAAAAAAAUAAUUUGAUCCUAUGUUCUAGUAUAAGAUGUACAGUGCCCCAAACAAGGGCAGUGAAUGUCACUUUUCUUCUUUGUCCUGAUCAGAGCAUACCUAGAGUAGCAAUUCAAUUCUGGGCACAUUUAAAGGACAGCAAUAAACUGAAGAAGAUCCAUUACAGAGUGAUCCAGAUGGUUAAGGGCCUGGAGGGCAUGGGAGGUAAGGGACAGAUUAAAAAUCCUGGAAGAGGUUAUUUGAAAAUAAAGAAGCUAAAGGAAGACAUGACAAACUAAGAUUUAAAGGAAUGUUAAGUAGUAGGUGGAUUAAGGUUUUUUGUUUGGUUGUUUUUUUGUUUGUUUUUUUUGUUUUUCGUCACUUGCAAGAAUAAAAUUUGAACCACUGACUGGAGACUAAAGUUAGUUGGAUUUCAGAUCCAUCUUAGGAAGAAUUUUUUAAUGUUUGAUCUCUGUAAAAAGGGGUGAGCACCUUUGUGCAGUAGUGACUUUCCUGUAUAAGAAGCUAGUGCUAGUACUUAUUCCAGAUUUUGUAGGAUCAAUUCAGGUAUAGAAAAAGGAAAUAGACCACAUGACCUCUUGGAAUAUCUGCAGUGCUAAAUGGCUAUGAUUCUUCAGUAUUUGAGCCUUAUUAUCCACCAUUUUCUUUUUUUACAUUUUUUUUUGUUUGUCUUUUAAAACAGCUUUAUUGAAGUGUAAUUUACAUAUAAAAAUCACUUAAUUUAAAUGGACAUUUUAAGACUUUUUUAGGCCAGGUUUAGGUUGACAACAAAAUUUAGAGAACUAGAGAUUUUCCAUGUGUCCCCUGUCCCCACGCAUGCAUGGUCUCUGCCAUUAUCAACAUUCCCUACUAGGGUGGUACAUUUGUUACAGCUGAUGGAGAGCUACAUUGACACAUAAUCACCUGAAGUCCUCUAUUCUCUGCCUAUCCAUUCUCCUCUGCCAACCCUGGCAACCACUGAUCUUUUUCCUGUCUCCAUAGUUUUUUCUUUGCCAGAAAGCAAUAUGGUUGGAAUCAUACAGUAUGUAACCUUUUCAGAUUGGCUUCUUUCACUUAGUAAUAAUCAUUUAAGGUUCUUCCAUGUCUUUUCAUGGCUUGAUAGUUCAUUUCCUUUUAAUGCUGAAUGGUGUUCCAUUAUCUCAAUGUACCCCAGUUAAUUUAUCCCCUCACUGACUAAAGGACAUCUUGGUUGCUAUUUAUCACUUUCUUAGUGAACCCUUCUUGCUUUAAUUCACUCAGUUCUCCUCACCUACCAUGGUUUAUUCUGAUCCCAUACCACUGCACAUACUUACCCACUCCUGAAAUUUAUUCCCAUCAACUCCCCCAAAGUCAGUUCAAAGAGUCAUCUAAUUACAUUCACUUCUCUGGUUGCUUUGCAGAUGAAUUAAUUAGGAUUUAAGCUCAGUGUCUGUAAAUACCAGGAAAAAAGAAAAACAAACAGACAAACAAAAAACAGUGGUAGAAUGUAAUAGAAGGUCAUUUCUUCCUUAGGUAACAGCCCAGAAGUAGGCAGUCUUGACAGUGGUUUUGCUUAUGUUUGAUAAGUGGCUUCCAUCUCUCUGGCCCAGGCAGUGUUUCCCCUUCUCACCUUCUUGCUGCAGCAGGCUCUUGGAAAGGUGCCAAGGCAGUGCAUGCUCAAUAAUUUAAACUGCAAAUGUGGAAACGGAAUAUAUCACCCUCGUUCACAUUGCAUUAACCAGAAUUUUACCUCAUGGUUAUACUGACUGUAAGGUAGACUAGGGAAUAGAGUCUUCCUUGAGUGGCCAGGGACCAGCUAAAACUCGAUCAUAGAUGAAAAGGGGAAUGGAUGUCAGAGAAUAUCCCUCUAUUGACCAGGGCUACCCCUCAGAAUUGCUUAUUUGGGGGUUCGUUGCCUUAUUUUUUUUCUCUUUUGUGACAGUAAAUUUUGCUUUUCAGAAAACAAUUUUAUUUUGAAUCAUAAUUUGCUAUUAAUUCCAUUAAAAGCUUAGGGAUAAGUUCUUAUGUUUAAAAUUUUGAACCCUUGAUCUAUCACUGAUUUUAGUAUUGUCUUUUUUCAGUGUGAACUUUCUGUGCUUUACAGUUAAUGUACCAUGAUUUUUCUAAAGAGAGAAUUGGUAAUAGACAGUGAACCUUCAGAGUCUUUGAAUAUAGUUUAAAAACAUAUUGCAGCACUAUUCACAAUAGCCAAGACAUCAAAACAACCCAAAUGUGCAUUAACAGCUGAUUGGAUUAGGAAGAUAUGGUAUAUAUACACAAUGGAAUACUACUCAGCUAUUAAAAGAAUGAAAUAAUGCCAUUUGCAGCAACAUGGAUGCAACUAGAGACUCUCAAAAUGAGUGAAGUAAGUCAGAAAGAGAAAGACAAAUACCAUAGGAUAUCACUUAUAUCUGGAAACUAAUAUAUGGCACAAAUGAACCUUUCCACAGAAAAGAAAAUCAUGGACUUAGAGAAUAGACUUGUGGUUGCCAAGGGGAAGGGGAGGGAGUGGGAUGUAUGGGAAGCUUGGGAUUAACAGAUACAGACUAUUGCCUUUGGAAUGGAUUAGCAAUGAGAUCCUGCUGUGUAGCACUGGGAACUAUGUCUAGUCACUUAUGAUGGAGCAUGAUAAUGUGAGAAAAAAGAAUAUAUACAUAUAUGUGUAACUGGGUCACCCUGCUGUACAGUAGAAAAUUGACAGAACACUAUAAACCAGCUAUAAUGGAAAAAAAUAAAAAUCAUAUUAAGAUGGAAAAAAAAAUAAAAA